UAGAACACGCAUCCCAGUUCUCUCGCUGGAGCAGAAGCUCCUAUUCCACCCACACCAACUCUUUCUUCAUCUGUACGAUGGGAUAAUGUGCCGUUUCCCCUACCUCACUAGAGAUAGAGGAGGGGGAUCCUCUAAUGAGACAGCAGGGAGAAUUAUUUGAAAAACUAAACCAACAUUUAAGGCCAGCUGCUGCUAUUAUUUUACUAGCAGCUUCUUCUUUUGUGCCAACUUAAAGCUACUUAAGCUAAGAGAGCCUAGAAACAAUGACACUCCAGGAACAAUGAUCACUCGCUACUGCCAGAUCUUAGUUUCCAAUCCCACUAUUCAGUGAAAGGAAUCAGGGCUCCUUGGAGAAAUGGCUGAUUCUAGGACUGGAGCAGGAAAUAUAGAAGACAAGCCUAGAACUUCUUAUAGUACCAGAAGGUCUUGAGCCUGCUGGCCCUUUGGAGUAGAACUACACCAUCGUUUCUCCUGAGUCUCCAGCUUCCUCCUUUCCCACCCUGCAGUUUUGGGGACUUUCCAGCCUCU